UCUAAGAUACAUGUUUUUAAGCUUAAACAUACAUUUUGUAUUAUAUUAUAUCUAAAUUAUGUUCUUAGAGUUUUUGUAUAUAUUGUAUUGUCUUAAUAUAGAUUUGUUGCAUCUCAACUUAUUUUAUUUUUUUUGUUCUUUACAGUUACGUACUUUAUGUGUAGUUAUAGAUAGAGGACAUUAGGUAGUACAAUGUUCUCAAAACAAAAAAUAUACAUAAUUUGCUAGUUUUUAUCUUUCGACUUCUAUAAUUUGGGUUGGUUAUGUUGUCUAAUGUCCAGUGAUGGAUCAAUAACUGAUUUGUUAUAAUUCUUGGUUGGUCUUUCCUUUUCUUCUUUUUGUUUUUCUGUUUUUCUUUUUUUUAUUUUAUUGAACAUAACUUGUCUUUGCCAUACCUGUUCCCAGUAAUGAUCUGCAGCUACUUAUGUUAUCUGGUUUUAGAGAUUUUAGUUAAGUCUUUACCGAGAAAGGUGUUGUUAUUGUCGCGAAUGUUGCUGGAUCUCAGAAGUGAAUUUGUUAGAAUUUAGAGUUUUAAUUGCAGAACCAUCGUGUCAUUUUAAAAUAGUCUAAUCUAACGUGAUUUCUUUUUCAAGUAAAAUCGAUUGUCAAUUGAUUUAUAUUUUAUUUUGAAUCAUCUUGUUCUCCAUGAGUUAAUUGAUCAUUCAUUGCUUUAUUAUUACCUCUCAGGCUGACAUGCAUAUAUAUAUUCUAGAGCAUCAGCUAAAGGAAAACGUGUUCAGUUAGUGCAAUUUACCAACUCUCCUCUCACCUGUAUUAGCCAAUGUGGCAACAUGUUUAAUGUUAGUAUUAUGGUUAGAACAAUGACUAACCACCUGAAAAUGCCUUCAGUCCAAUAUGGGAGCCAAAAAUCAUGGCGUCGUCAUUCCUGAUGCAAACAUAGAUUUCACGAUAAAUGCUUUAGUGGCGGCUGGUUUUAGUACAACAGGACAAAGAUGCAUGGCGUUGAGCACAGUUUUCUUUGUUAGGAACUCAAAACCUUGGUAACACAUUUCAAAUUUCACAUUAUUACGCCACUUUAUUCAGAUUGUUUAGUUUACUAUUGACAUCUUUGAUGGAUGACGGUAAAUUAAUCUUACAUGGAAGAAAAACUGUUGGAACAUGCAAAAGUCCUGAAGGUCAGCGCUGGAACUGAACCUGAUGCCGAUCUUGGUCCAGUAAUUAGCAAGCAGACCACAGGCUAAAAAAUGAGCAUGUCGAUUGGUUCAACGCGGUGUUGAUAGUGGAGCCAAAUUAUUGCUUGACGAAAGAGCCAAACAUUGAUAUGUAUCCAGUGUUGUUUUAGUUUUAUUGAAAGACAUAUUACAAAAGAUCCUUGUUAUUUCUUCUAGAUACAUAUUUUACUAUCUUGUAUCUAUGGUCAGAUGAGUAUGCAUUUUAAUGUAUCUAAUGUUUUAUUAGUUUUAUUGAACUAAGCAAAUAAAAGAUACAUGUUUU